GAAGAGCCAUGAAGAGAUACCCCACCUCCAAGCUGCUUGGAUUUCCUUCCCCUGAUCUUGUCUACCUGGCCAAUCCUGCUCUUCUUUAAGAUUUAAUCUGGCUGAAACAACCUCAGCUCAGCCCCUGCGAGGCAGAGGCCAAACACAGCAGAAGCCCAACUCAGCAAAAGCUCCUGCGGUGGAAGCUGAAUGUGAAGAAAACCCAGUGCAGUGGAAAUGAUAAGAAGCCCAGCAUGCUGGAAACCGGGACAGAAAAAAUAAACUUAGCAGAAAGCUCACGUGGCUGUCUCAGAUUCCAGAAGACCUCCAGUUGGGAUAGGAAGUCCUCACCCCUAUGGCUGGAAGGACAUAUGGCUAACACAAUCUUAAUUCCUUUACAA